CGCUAAGCUUCUAUGGUUAAUCUUGUCAACCCUGAAUUUUACACAUGCAGUAUAGGCAGGGACAAAGACUCCUAUGUUAUUGGCAACCCUGAUUGGCAAUAUGCAGCGAAUAAAUUUGUAAAGCAACUCCCUGACGAUGUAAUUGUGCACUUGCGAGACCCGCCCAUCAAAGCGCACUUCCUCAGUCUGAGCUCACCAAAAUGAGAGGUGACAUGUGCUUCUUCCUGUCAUCAAGACCACUAGCGAGUUUUAUGAUAGUAGUUGAACAUGCGUGAUUUAUUUUGGGUGUUGUAACUUAAAUGAGCAAAUAGAACUUCUGUAACUUUCUGAAAUCUAUCUGACCAUACCUUAAUAUAUUCUACAUGUGUAGUAUGGUCAUGUGUUUGUGCUGUA